UGAUUUGCUCCAUGAUGCAACAAGGAGAGAAGCUCGGGGUGGCUGAAAUUCAGUUGAAACUGUCUCACUUAUUUGGAUGAACAUCUGAUGUAGAUGUAGUUGUAGUUUAAACACAGCUGUUUUGACAUUCCAAAUGUUGUAUGUUUGUCCUGGUUACAAGUUCAUGAAAAUUGAAGCUCACUUCUAUUGACUGGGGCAAAUUGCUGUUGGGUUUUGUAUGACAAUUUAAUUUCUUGAGAAAAUUGUUUACAUGCUAUGUUGAAGUAAAAUAGUUGCGAAUUGCAUUGGUGUCAAAAGAAGCUUAUGAUAUUAUUGCAUCUUGGGAAAGUGUUGAUCUCCCUCUGCAAAAUUGAUGUAUGAUUUGUGACAUUUUGUCUUGUGGAUGGGAAAAGAAAAAAAAUUGAUGUUUAAAGCUUCUGAGACAACAAAUUUGUUCUGCCAUGCUUUUCUUUUGCAAGUGGAGCUUAUCUUAUUGGCAGCCUCCCUGUUGGAUUUGCUGUGUCAAAACCUGUGUCAAUA
rnacentral:misc_RNA from 1 species